rnacentral:rRNA from 1 species
GACGAACGCUGGCGGCGUGCUUAACACAUGCAAGUCGAACGAAGUGGCGAACGGGUGAAUAACGCGUAAUCAACCUGCACUUCAGAGGGGGAAAACAGUUGGAAACGACUGCUAAUACCGCAUACUGAAGGAGGGGAUUCCGUUUGAUUAGCUAGUUGGAGGGGUAACGGCCGACCAAGGCGAUGAUCAGGAGCCGGCCUGGGAGGGUGAACGGCAAAAUUGGGACUGUGAAACGGCCCAGAAGCCGACAGGAGGCAGCAGUGGGGAAUCUUCCGGAAUUGACGAAAGUCUGACGGAGCAACGCCGCGUGAGUGAUGACGGCCUUCUGGUUGUAAAGCUCUGUUAAUCGGGACGCGGUACCGGAAUAGAAAGCCACGGCUAACUACGUGCCAGCCGCCGCGGUAAUAC